GGGUUGCUCGAGGACUGGUCGCUUCAUGUCGCUGUUGAUGACAUGCUGUCGGCCGUUGAACCGCCUGGUUCCGCCCUCCUGGGCGGGUUAC
rnacentral:tRNA from 1 species